UAAUACGGAGGGGGCUAGCGUUGUUCGGAAUUAUUGGGCGUAAAGGGCGCGUAGGCGGCCUGGCAAGUCAGUUGUGAAAUCCCUCGGCUCAACCGAGGAACUGCGACUGAAACUGCCAGGCUUGAGUCCCGGAGAGGGUAGUGGAAUUCCCAGUGUAGCGGUGAAAUGCGUAGAUAUUGGGAGGAACACCGGUGGCGAAGGCGGCUACCUGGACGGGUACUGACGCUGAGGCGCGAAAGCGUGGGGAGCAAACAGGAUUAGAUACCCUGGUAGUCCACGCUGUAAACGAUGGGCACUUGGUGUUGCGGGUAUCGACCCCUGCAGUGCCGAAGCUAACGCAUUAAGUGCCCCGCCUGGGGAGUACGGUCGCAAGGCUA
rnacentral:rRNA from 1 species